UACGUAGGUGGCAAGCGUUGUCCGGAAUUAUUGGGCGUAAAGCGCGCGCAGGCGGUCCUUUAAGUCUGAUGUGAAAGCCCACGGCUCAACCGUGGAGGGUCAUUGGAAACUGGGGGGACUUGAGUACAGAAGAGGAAAGCGGAAUUCCACGUGUAGCGGUGAAAUGCGUAGAGAUGUGGAGGAACACCAGUGGCGAAGGCGGCUUUCUGGUCUGUAACUGACGCUGAGGCGCGAAAAGCGUGGGGAGCAAACAGG
rnacentral:rRNA from 1 species